UGUGAAAUCCCCGGGCUUNACCUGGGAAUGGCGUUUGANNCUACAAGGCUAGAGUGCAGCAGAGGGGAGUGGAAUUCCNCGUGUAGCAGUGAAAUGCGUAGAGAUGUGGAAGAACACCGAUGGCNAAGGCAGCUCCCUGGGCUGACACUGACGCUCAUGCACGAAAGCGUGGGGAGCAAACAGGAUUAGAUACCCUGGUAGUCCACGCCCUAAACNAUGUCAACUAGUUGUCGGAUCUA
rnacentral:rRNA from 1 species